CCUACGGGAGGCAGCAGUAAGGAAUAUUGGACAAUGGGCGCAAGCCUGAUCCAGCCAUGCCGCGUGAAGGAUUAAGGUCCUCUGGAUUGUAAACUUCUUUUAUAGGGGACGAAAAAAGGGCAUUCUUGCUCACUUGACGGUACCCUAUGAAUAAGCACCGGCUAACUCCGUGCCAGCAGCCGCGGUAAUACGGAGGGUGCAAGCGUUAUCCGGAUUCACUGGGUUUAAAGGGUGCGUAGGCGGGCAGUUAAGUCAGUGGUGAAAUCUCCGAGCUCAACUCGGAAACUGCCAUUGAUACUAUCUGUCUUGAAUAUUGUGGAGGUAAGCGGAAUAUGUCAUGUAGCGGUGAAAUGCUUAGAUAUGACAUAGAACACCUAUUGCGAAGGCAGCUUACUACGCAUAUAUUGACGCUGAGGCACGAAAGCGUGGGGAUCAAACAGGAUUAGAUACCCUGGUAGUCCACGCCCUAAACGAUGGAUACUCGACAUACGCGAUACACUGUGUGUGUCUGNGNGAAGANAUAGUAUCCACCGNGGAGUACGUCCGCGAGAGUAGAACGUAAAGUAAGUAGAGACGNGAGAGNGCGACGGACGACACGAGGGAGGUAGG
rnacentral:rRNA from 1 species